ensembl:snRNA U4 U4 spliceosomal RNA
AGCUUUGCGCAGUGGCAGUAUCAUAGCCAAUGAGGUUUAUCCGAGGCGCGAUUAUUGCUAAUUGAAAACAAAUUUUUUUAUUUUUCAAUAUAUGUUUUUCAAGGAACAAUCCGGUAUUUGGCUUGUUUUACUGAUGUUCAAACAU